CACGGGGGGAGCAAGCGUUGUUCGGAAUCACUGGGCGUAAAGGGCGUGCAGGCGGUCAGGUAAGUGGGAUGUGAAAUGCCCCGGCUCACCCGGGGACCGGCAUCUCAUAUUGCUUGGCUUGAGUACGGGAGAGGAUGUGGGAAUUCCUGGUGUAGCGGUGAAAUGCGUAGAUAUCAGGAGGAACACCGGUGGCGAAGGCGCACAUCUGGCCCGAUACUGACGCUGAGGCGCGAAAGCUAGGGGAGCAAACGGG
rnacentral:rRNA from 1 species